CCGCGGUGGGCCUCCUCCAGCCCUGGCACUAGCCGGGCAGGCUCUCGCAGCCCUGCAGACGGUCCCCUGGGGCACUGUUGGGAGGAGGCUGCUGGUGAUGGGUGACGGGCACAGAGCCCGGUUCUCCCCACCCCACCCCACACCUAAAAACAGUGAGAUGCCAGGACAGAGCCAGGAGCAGACCCAGAUGUUCACUUAUGCGUGGAGUCCACGACAAAACCAAAUCAUCACUUGGGACAGGGCUGCUGGGCCGCUCAGUGCUUAUCCCUUGCGAGGCUCCCGCCCCGCCCUGCCCGCGGCCGCCUUUUAUCUGCCCGGCUCCAGGGAGCUCCCGGGCAGUGCAGCUGCGGCUUUUCCUGCUCAGAACGGGGCUCCCCGCACAUCUGGACACCCCCCAUUUUCUCUCAGCUCCAGGGUGGAAGGAGGGCCCUGGGAGCAGCGGGGACAACGGGGAAGGGGAAGGCCCUGGGGGCCCACUGGUGAAAGUGGAGUCUCAAUGGCAGCUGUGCCAUUUUCCCAGCCUGGCAACCCAGAGGGGCCCGUGGGGCUCACCCCCUACUCCUGAGCAGAGGCUCGCAGCCUACGGUUUAUUACUUCAGAAUGCAGAACCCCACCGCCACUUCGACGCUGCCCACCAGGCCACCCGUCAGCCCUCCAACGUCGGGGCCGCUCUGCCCAUGAGAGCCCCCCAUCUCCAAACCUCGGCAGGAAGGCUCUUCCCCUGGGCCGGGGCGGGGGGCCAUGUAAGCACAGCCACCAGGAAGACCCCGGUGGGAGCCCCCGACUCCUCGGCACUGAGGAUGGUGCCUCUUGGCAUGACCGGGUUUGCUGCCUUUAUAUUUCAGGAUUGAGCUGACCUCUGACCUCACUUCCCUGUAGCAAGUUCCUUAGGUCCUGAGCCACAAAUAUUCUUGCAAAUUCUCUUGGUAAGGACGUUGACUUCUUAGACUAGUGGUGCUUCCCUCACACUGUCUGCUAACGUGUCCCCAAAACCACUGACGUGGUCUGGACCUCCCUCCUCCAUCGCCUUCAUAACUGAUUAAUACGUUUCCCACCCCGCCCUUCUCCUUCUCGAGCACGAGGACUCGCUGGCAGAGAGGGCCCCUUUCCGGGACAGAGGUUCUUGGAGGCUGAGUUAAGUCCCUGGUGGCCAGUGCCCCUUGUGAGGCUGAGGGCGCUGCCAUCCCUGGGACCCCAGGGCCUGCAAGAAUGUGGAUGCUGUCACCUUGUAGCCUUGUUAGGUCCCCGCAGGUGAGGCGGUUGAUUGGACAGUGCACAGAAGACCCCCCGAGAUCAGUCUGUGCUUCCCAGCUGUGGGACAGGCAGGAUUUUAGGAUCAGGGCAAGGGUGCCAGGCUUCAGCAGGGGCCACACCUGGCCCACUGCCUGUCCGUGUCAGUCCAGUGUGACUGGGACACAGCUGUGCCCAUUCAUUUUCCUGUGGUCUGUGCUACAGUGGCAGAGGUGAGUCACUGCAACAGGGACCACACAGCCCACAAAUCCUAAACUAGUACCUGGCCCUUUACAGACAGAGUUUGCAGGCCCCGGCUAGAGAGGGCCUGACGCACCUGCCAGCCCUCAAAGGCCCCUGGGGACCUCGGUCUGUCUCUGCCCGCCCAGGUUGAAGGAAAUCGUGGGUCUGGAGGGACUGUUAGCACCGGAAAGACCUCAGGCUGGGCACUGCCACUGCCACCCUGUGUUCAGAGCUGGGACCUUGGAAAUGGGGAGGGAAAACGCUUUCUCUGUUAUUUUCAGAGAGCAGACUCUCCAUUGCCCAAAAGGGCCUCUCCCCCUGGAUCUCCGGGGGUUUCUGGACCACCAGUUCACACUUGGCUAUUCUGUGAGAUGCAGAUUGUGCCCGAGGUGCUGCUCUUGGGAACUGAAGAAUAACGAAGUUGUCCUUAGCCUCCUCCCAAAAGCCUUUUCCUUUUGGCAUCUUAAAAGCUUGAGAUAAAAUGGAGACCCCCAGAGAGCCCAGGCAGGCUCCCAGGCGCGUCCUGCCUACGUGGACCUGCUGAGCAAUAGACCCGCAGUCAGGACGUGGCCCCGGGCCAGCAGCGUCCUGGAAGGGCCUUGACUCCCCCAUCUAAAGUCACUCACCCCGGCUUAUGUGGGCGAUUCCUUACGCUGGAGGGUUUUAAGGGUUUGAGCUCAGCCCCUGGACACAGAUUUUUCUUACCAUUUAGACUUGCUCUCACACACCCUUCAACCCUUAGAUCCCAACAACUUCAGCGGCUUCUACAUUUCAAAGAGUACAGUUUCAUUCCAGCCUUCCUGUUGCCCUCACUGAAGCCAAACCGCAAAAGACUUUGAGGUCUGACAGACAAAUGAGCUCACCUGUGCCCAGCAGCUCUGUCAGGGAUGUGGACAUGCCCUUUCCCUCGGGGCCCCGCGUCCCUCUUUCUCCCUGCUGGCCUGGCUGUCGGGGUGAGACGCUGUGUCGAUUGCUGGGCAGCAAGGAACCGGUGCCAGGUGUUGACUGGGUCGUUGCCCUUGGAUCCAGCCCUCUUGUUGCUAAGAGGCCUUUUCACUGAUGUUCUUGCCAGCUCGGCCAAAUCUCCACCUUUGCUUUGGCGGAAGCAAUAGUGAUGGUAGCUUAAAAUAGAUUUUUUUCACUACACUUUUUCCUAGAAGGUUUCAUAGAUUAUUUAGAACUUCACCAGAUAAUCAGAUCAGUCCCAGAUUAGCUUCUUGGAAUUUUAUAUUUGACAAUAUUUAUACUAUAUCAAAUUAAUUUGCUUAGAUUUGUUGGUUAAAACAUUUUAAGGCAGUAAGUUUAUAGAAAUUUUUUUCAUUUAAAAUGGAAGGCCGGGAAGUGUCCGGUGUCAACCCCUGGGCGUGCGUCCCCACUGGCCGUCCCUUCUGGGCCCGAUGCCUUAGGUUCAGGGCUUAGGGCAGAACAGGCAGCAAAGCAGCAGCCACAGUCAAUGCCUUCGACACAGAGCCACGUGAUGAGGACGAGAUGUACUCUCGUGUCCCCAGACAGCAACAGGGAUGCCCCGUCCAGGUUCCCUCCAAGUGUAGUUACCUAGGCCUGUCUGGGAACUUCCUGAUCGUGGCUCGUGGGCACCAAGCCUCCUGUGCUCCUGACGGCUUAGAGCUCUGUAAUCAGCCUUUGUUCAGUCCAAUAAACUUUGAGUAGAUGAUCUUGA